UCAUGAUAAGUUACUUUACAUUAGUAAUAACCUUUGAAUUUUUAAAGUUCGAAAUAAGUUCUUUCGCUUUCGCUAAGAAAUUCUGCGACGACAACAUACAGAUAGCCUGAGAUAUAUAGAUUGCAAUUUUCCAUGUGGUAAGGACUAAGCUGUACGUGGGCACGAUGUACAAUAAGUGCGACGAAGCGGUGCUGGUCCACUGGCGGACUUGAAAGAUAUCAAAAGAAACUGGUUGGCC